rnacentral:lncRNA from 1 species
CCGUGUCGCAAACCGAGAUACGUGGUUGCGAGCCUACACCGUCGAUAUCGUCUCACAUCGUGCCGACUGUAAGAGGAUGAAGUCGUACGCAAGAAUGGAAAGUGAAAGAACAAAGAAAGUGGCUCUAAUUCAAGCAAUCGGUACAGCGAACCACCUACCUGCUACCUUCAGGAUGAUUACCCGGAGCUUUAUUUUGAACUCACUAAAAGCCAGCAUUUGCCGCAUUUGAAAGACAAAUUAAAACGAAUAUGUGCUAAUUCGAAGAUUCAAAAAAGGUACAUGCUCCCGAUGGAGGAGAUCGUUGAAAAGAACCCUAACAUACGUACAUAUGGAGCACCAUCCCUCGACGCUCGUCAGGACAUUCUCGUAAAAGAAGUACCGAAGCUCGCCAUGGAGGCGGCAACGAAGGCCAUCGAAGAGUGGGGCGAACCCGCGGCGAGUAUCACGCACCUCAUAUUUUGCACGUCAUCGGAAAUAAGCGCGCCCAGUGCUGAUCGUCGGCUAGCUAAACUUAUCGGACUUAAACCAUCGGUUCAAAAAUUCAUAAUCUACCAGCAAGGUUGCUACGCCGGCGGGACUGCCCUCCGCCUCGGCAAAGACGUGGUCGAGAACAACGAAGACGCUCAUGUUCUCGUCGUUUGCUGCGAGAUCUACAGCCUUUGCCGUUUUCAAGGACCCUCCGAGACCCGGAUGGACAUUCUAGUGGGGCGGCGCUGA